UACGAAAGGUGCAAGCGUUGUUCGGAAUCACUGGGCGUAAAGCGCACGUAGGCGGGUUUGUGUGUCGAUUGUGAAAGCCCCGGGCUCAACCCGGGAACUGCAGUCGAAACUGCAGAUCUUGAAUACUUGAGAGGGUGGGGGAAUUCCUGGUGGAGAAGUGAAAUUCGUAGAUAUCAGGAGGAACAUCAGAGGCGAAGGCGCCUGCCUGGCAAUGUAUUGACGCUGAGGUGCGAAAGUGCGGGGAGCAAACAGG
rnacentral:rRNA from 1 species